UCAAAUGUCUGAUGUUCAUAGCAUAAAAUUAUUAGGAAUAAACAUAAUCUUGAUGUACAUGCUACUCGCCUCCACAGAGUAAGCAACUCGUUCAUGGGUCAACGUAUACGCUUUUACAAUAAACUUCCCAAAACUUUUCAAUUAAAUGUUUUUCUAAUUACUGGGGGUUUUUUCUCAAAACACUAACAUUUUGGGGGGAUUUUGGGUGAGAUUUGGGGAGAAUGCUAAAUCAUCAUCUGGCAACACUGCGUCUAUCGAGUAUAUAUUGCUAAAGCCUGUGAGUUUUUUUUCUUGUGAUGUUAUUUUAAUUUAACUUAAACUACAUUACGCUAUGUUUUAUGCAAUAAAACAGUAAAGAGGUUUUCUAUAGGUGAAUUUUUACCUAUGUCAUUCGCGCGUUUGUCAAAUUGACUGAUGUGUAUGUGUACAUAGAGUGAGGUUAAUUUUGGGUUUAUUAUUGUUGAAUAGAUAAGUUUAUUUUGGCAGAGAAGAGAAAACGAGGAUAAACCUUUCUUGCAGAAGAAAAAGACAAGCUAGUGAAAUUGCUGACGUCUUAUAGAGACACAAUAUUAAACAAAAAACGGAUGGGACCACGAACGAAGCCAAAAACAAAGCUUGGAUCCAGUUACAAAUAGUUUUAAUGCGAUAGGAACCGUUUACAGUUUCAGGUGGUGCGAGAAAUUGGAAAGACGUGUAAAAACAUGCUGCGCCCAGCCCACCUCAAAUUGAAUUGGUGCAGGAGGAUGAUGAUAAUGUUUGGUACAUCAUAUGAGGACUAAUAUUAAAAUAUUUGUUUAC